rnacentral:ncRNA from 1 species
GUAAAUACGAUGAAUAGGAUAAGUAAGUUAGUGGCAUUUUACAGAGAGCCAGGGGGCGGUGUGACCUGGUAAAUGUGCUGAUUGAAAUACACCUAGGAGUAGCAGGUUGAAAAGGUAAAAGUAGACCGUGCCGGAAUGCCACCGUUAUUAUAGGCUAGAGUAUCAGGUAAUUAUGCCUCGUACUUGAAAUGAUGAAUUAGCUUGCAAUGCAAGCAGGGUGGUAGAGCGAGUGAUAACAUCUCGUCCCUGUA